AGUGAGGUGGAAAUAUUUCUGUAUAGACUCAAUUAUGAACACCAGUCUGAGGAAAUGCAUAUGCUACAUU
rnacentral:pre_miRNA from 1 species